rnacentral:rRNA from 1 species
CAGGCCUCACACAUGCAAGUCUAACUAUCAAGUCCCUUCGGGGGCUCUUAAAGUGGCUAACGGGUGUAGUCACGCGUGGGUGCAUCUACCUUUCAGUGGGGGACAACUUGCCGAAAGGCGGGCUAAUACCGCAUAACACGGUCGGUUCAUAUGGGCCGACCGUCAAAGGUGGUCUGCUUGCAGGCUGUCGCUGAAAUAUGAGCCCGCGUCCCAUUAGCUAGUUGGUGGGAUAACAGCCUACCAAGGCGACUAUGGGUAGCCGACCUGAGAGGGUGAUCGGCCACACUGGGACUGAGACACGGCCCAUACUCCUACGGGAGGCAGCAGUGGGGAAUAUUGCGCAAUGGGCGAAAGCCUGACGCAGCAACGCCGCGUGAGUGAUGAAGGCCUUCGGGUCGUAAAGCUCUGUCGCAGGGAACGAAAGCCAUCACCUGAAUACGGUGAUGGUAUGACGGUACUCUGCAAGAAAGCCCCGGCCAACUCCGUGCCAGCAGCCGCGGUAAU